rnacentral:rRNA from 1 species
UAGGGAAUUUUCGUCAAUGGGGGCAACCCUGAACGAGCAAUGCCGCGUGAGCGAAGAAGGUCUUCGGAUUGUAAAGCUCUGUUGGCCGGGGAAAAAGGAAGGAAAGAGGAAAUG